UACGUAGGGUGCGAGCGUUAAUCGGAAUUACUGGGCGUAAAGCGUGCGCAGGCGGUUCGUUAUGUCUGUGGUGAAAGCCCUGGGCUCAACCUAGGAAUGGCCAUGGAAACUGGCGGGCUGGAGUAUGGCAGAGGGGGGUGGAAUUCCGCGUGUAGCAGUGAAAUGCGUAGAGAUGCGGAGGAACACCGAUGGCGAAGGCAGCCCCCUGGGCUAAUACUGACGCUGAGGCACGAAAGCGUGGGGAGCAAACAGG
rnacentral:rRNA from 1 species